rnacentral:rRNA from 1 species
AUUGAACGCUGGCGGCAGGCCUUACACAUGCAAGUCGAACGGCUGCAGGGGGCUUGCCACUUGAUUCCGAGUCGCACGCGUGAGUAAUGUAUAUGAAUCUGCCUGCUAGAGGGGGAUAAAGCCCGGCAACAGGCGCUUUUAUAGCACACACGAUGUGGGAGAAAGAGGGGGAGCUUCGCACGUCACGCUCUCAGAUGUGCCUAGGUCGGAUUAGCUAGUUGGUGGGGUAAAGGCCUACCAAGGCGACGAUCCGUAACUGGUCUGAGAGGAUGAUCAGUCACACUGGAACUGAGACACGGCCCAGACUCCUACGGGAGGCAGCAGUGGGGAAUAUUGGACAAUGGGCGAAAGCCUGAUCCAGCAAUGCCGCGUGUGUGAAGAAGGUCUUCGGGUUGUAAAGCACUUUUGUUUGGAAAGAAAUGCUUUGAGUUAAUACCGUGCUGUUUUGACGGUACCAGCAGAAUAAGCACCGGCUAACUACGUG